UCAGGGAACUCUGCUUUGAGACACACAGCAGUGGCAGAAGUCUCUGCAGGGACUCCUAGUGUUAUCUCUCCCUUCAGCUCAGCUCCAGACACAGCCCCAGCACCAAGGACUUGCUGCUGCCAUGCAUGCCUCCAUCCUCUCCAUUUGCAUAUAGCAGCCAAAACAUGAAGAGAGUUCUUAUUUCUAGUAGAGAGUUGGUGAUUUACUUUACACCCUGUUUACCUUACAUUUUGCGUUUGUAUUACUGCUGGCUGCAUAAAUCCACUCCAGAGUAGCUGAUGAGCAUUUGAUGAAACACUGUCCUCCAAAAUGCACAGGCUUAAGUUGUCAGCAGCUGUAAGUCUGUCAGCAUUCAAAUACAAAUUCAUUUCCACCCAGUCUUCAUAAACCAGCCCAAAUAUCUCCUUCUUUGUCUCUUCCCUCUUCCUCAUCGACGAUGUAUCAUGUGCUGAGCUGCUCGAUGCAUGUCUCUGCUGUCAGAGCAGUGUAAAAUAGUCAGGACUGCACAUACAUUUACAGGGACGUCAUCUGUGCUGAGGCUUUGCUGCAAAGGAUUCUAAUGAAGUGGAUGAGGAAAGCCAGUUGUGAGCACUCACAGCCCUUGGAUGAGCUCUAACAGAAAGCAGAGGAAUCAAGCUGGGUGUAAUAGUGCUGGUGUGAAAUCAGAUUGUCUCUUUCCAAUGGUCUGUUCCCCAGUCUGGGAAUUUCACACCACAGAGAGCCUGCUGCCUCCCCGGGGUAAGUUGCUCCAACAGUUUAAUUACCCUCACUGCUCACAAAGCAUGCCCUAUUUCUUGUCUGAAUGUUGGCUGCCUACAGAGACAUUAUGUAUGCUAAGCACUGGAUAACCGGCACUUCUCUGAAUAUAUUUGCAACUUGAUAAUAGUGCUCUGGUUACAGCUCACACAUAGCCUCUGCUCCCCAGCUGGGGUAGAUCUGAACUGCCCUGCUCAACCCAGGGCAGCUGUGUGAGCUGACAGGUCUGGAUACAGCCCACUAUUAACUGUAGGAUGUAGCUGCUUAUGACUGAAACCCGAAGUAUUUUUCUUAAAUAAGAAGAAUAAGAGGUUAAGCUGCUGUGGAUAUUCAUAUUUAAUCUGUUCCAAUUACAAUAUGCAUAUCGGUUUUCAGAAAGGAUUUGAGACUUCUCCUGUACAGACUUAAAUAUGUCCAUAUGAAAUAUCAAUGUUUUAGGCUAGGAUUUUCAAAAGGACAUUAAGGAAAUGAGGCACCCACUUCUUACUGACUCUCAUUGACUUCCCUGAUUGCUUUGGAGGAAUCCUAUCCUUAAUCGUCAUUAUUAUGCCAUGAGAACUGGUAUCACUCCUUGUCACCUAUAUAUCCUAGAUACUGCCAGUGCUGACAGCUGCCAUGUCCGCCCCAUAAAGUAUAAUCAAA
rnacentral:lncRNA from 1 species